GUGCUUAACACAUGCAAGUCGAACGAUGAACCACUUCGGUGGGGAUUAGUGGCGAACGGGUGAGUAACACGUGGGCAAUCUGCCCUGCACUCUGGGACAAGCCCUGGAAACGGGGUCUAAUACCGGAUACUGACCCGCUUGGGCAUCCAAGCGGUUCGAAAGCUCCGGCGGUGCAGGAUGAGCCCGCGGCCUAUCAGCUUGUUGGUGAGGUAAUGGCUCACCAAGGCGACGACGGGUAGCCGGCCUGAGAGGGCGACCGGCCACACUGGGACUGAGACACGGCCCAGACUCCUACGGGAGGCAGCAGUGGGGAAUAUUGCACAAUGGGCGAAAGCCUGAUGCAGCGACGCCGCGUGAGGGAUGACGGCCUUCGGGUUGUAAACCUCUUUCAGCAGGGAAGAAGCGGAAGUGACGGUACCUGCAGAAGAAGCGCCGGCUAACUACGUGCCAGCAGCCGCGGUAAUACGUAGGGCGCGAGCGUUGUCCGGAAUUAUUGGGCGUAAAGAGCUCGUAGGCGGCUUGUCACGUCGGUUGUGAAAGCCCGGGGCUUAACCCCGGGUCUGCAGUCGAUACGGGCAGGCUAGAGUUCGGUAGGGGAGAUCGGAAUUCCUGGUGUAGCGGUGAAAUGCGCAGAUAUCAGGAGGAACACCGGUGGCGAAGGCGGAUCUCUGGGCCGAUACUGACGCUGAGGAGCGAAAGCGUGGGGAGC
rnacentral:rRNA from 1 species